rnacentral:rRNA from 1 species
AUUGAACGCUGGCGGCAGGCCUAACACAUGCAAGUCGAACGAGUGGCGGACGGGUGAGUAAUGUCUGGGAAACUGACUGAUGGAGGGGGAUAACUCCUGGAAACGGUAGCUAAUACCGCAUACCAUCGGAUGUGCCCAGAUGGGAUUAGCUAGUAGGUGGGGUAAAUGCUCACAUAGUCGACGAUCCCUAGCUGGUAUGAGAGGAUGACCAGCCACACUGGAACGGAGACACGGUCCAGAGUCCUACGGGAGGCAGCAGUGGGGAAUAUGGCACAAUGGGCGCAAGCCUUAUGCAGCCAUGCCGCGUGUAUGAAGAAGCCCUUCGGGUUGGAAAGUACUGUCAGCGGGGAGGCGUGACCCGCAUAAGAAGCACCGGCUAACUCCGUGCCAGCAGCCGCGGUAAUAC